AAAUAAAUUCUUGCUUAAAUGGUGGUUCUUUCUGCUAUUGGCUACUGGAUAACAUUCUUCAUUGGCUAGACACAGUGGCUAACACCUGUAAUCACAACACUUGGGAGGCCAAAGCAAGAGGAUCACUUUAGGCCAGGAGUUUGAAGCUGCAGUGAGCCAUGAUUGCUCCACUAAGGCUGCUCGUCUCUCACAUCUGUCUCUAUCUUGCCAAGUCCGGUGGCCAGUUCUGUCUUCCUUUGGUGGAUCUCAGUGGUAUUUGCAGUGGUUGUCCUUGGCCUUUUUGAAGCUUCUCCUCUAAGCGUCUGUGCCACUAACCUCUGCCGAUUGUUCUCCCCCUGCCCCAUGAGCUGGUUCUUGUUCCAUUUGGGUGGGUCUUGCUGUGAAUGUUGACGGCCCCACCAGGCUCGUCUCUUAACUGUACUCAACUCCCCCACCCCACAGAAUCUCUCGCAGCCUGGGCUUUGAGCUGCAUCUGUGCACUGCCAUCUCUGCCUGGGUGUCAAACAGGUACCUCCAACCACACAGGCACGGAGGGCACCCAGGGUCUGCUGCCCCUCGCUGCCUGGUCUUCUUCUUGCCUUCUCAUCUGCCCAGGCACCCAGACCUCUCCUGUGGAAAUCAGCCCUUUCCCUCACAUGCACACUACUAGCAAGUCCUGUAAGUUCCACCUCUGAAGUGCAUCUCAGGCCCGGCCACAUCUCAUCCCCUCCUCUGCCGCCACCCUCAUCAUGCCACCAUAUGGCAUCUGCCCAACUCACCCCAAGAGCAGCCUUCCUAGAGAAGAUCUUUUAAAAAUAAAAUCAGAUCAUGUCCCUACCCUGCAGAAAACUUUCCUGGGUCUUCCAGUCACAAUCCGGUUAAAUUCUAAAUUCAGGCUGGGCAUGGUGGGCAUGGUGGCUGAUGCCUGUAAUCCCAGCCUGUAAUUCCAGCACUUUGGGAGGCUGAGGUGGGAGAAUUGUUUCAGCCCAGGAGUUUGUGAGAGCAGCCUGGGCAACAAUGGGAAAUCCUCUCUCUACAAAUAAUUUAAAAAUUAGCCAGGUGUGGUGGUGCACACCUGUAGUCCAGCUGCUCGGGGGAGGCUGAGGUGGGAGGAU
rnacentral:lncRNA from 10 species